rnacentral:rRNA from 1 species
AACGCGAAGAACCUUACCUGGUCUUGACAUCCCGGAGACCCUUAGGAAACUAGGGGGUGGCUUCCAUCUGGAAGAAUCUGGAGACAGGUGCUGCAUGGCUGUCGUCAGCUCGUGUCGUGAGAUGUUGGGUUAAGUCCCGCAACGAGCGCAACCCUUGCCUUUAGUUGCCAGCAGUUCGGCUGGGCACUCUAAAGGGACUGCCGGUGUUAAACCGGAGGAAGGUGGGGAUGACGUCAAGUCCUCAUGGCCUUUAUGACCAGGGCUACACGCGUACUACAAUGGCCGAUACAAAGGGCAGCGACACUGCGAGGUGAAGCCAAUCCCGUAAAAUCGGUCUCAGUCCGGAUUGGAGUCUGCAACUCGACUCCAUGAAGUUGGAAUCGCUAGUAAUCGCGGAUCAGCAUGCCACGGUGAAUACGUUCCCGGGCCUU